AGCAGCCGCGGUAAUUCCAGCUCCAAUAGCGUAUAUUAAAGUUGCUGCAGUUAAAAAGCUCGUAGUUGAAUUUCGGGACUAAUAUGUCGGUCGUGCCUCGGUACGUACUGGUUUAUUGGUUUCUCCUUUCUGAAGAACCAUGAUGUCAUUUAUUUGGUGUCGUGGGGAAUCAGGACUGUUACUUUGAAAAAUUAGAGUGUUUAAAGCAGGCUCACGCUUGAAUACAUUAGCAUGGAAUAAUGAAAUAGGACGUUUGAUUCUAUUUUGUUGGUUUCUAGGAUCGACGUAAUGAUUAAUAGGGAUAGUUGGGGGCAUUAGUAUUCAAUUGUCAGAGGUGAAAUUCUUGGAUUUAUUGAAGACUAACUACUGCGAAAGCAUUUGCCAAGGAUGUUUUCAUUAAUCAAGAACGAAAGUUAGGGGAUCGAAGACGAUCAGAUACCGUCGUAGUCUUAACCAUAAACUAUGCCGACUAGGGGUCGGAUGGUGUUAAUUUUUAAUGACUCAUUCGGCGCCUUACGGG
rnacentral:rRNA from 1 species